ACAGAGUCGGAUGGACGCUUUAAGCUAAUCCAUCACGUAUUUCCCAUGUAUUUUCACUAUGAUUGAAAAUAGUAAAAUAAUGGGCUAAACCUCCACUAACAUUUGAACCGGUGAACGCAAUAAGUCCUGAUAACGAAUUUUCUACUACAUCAUCUCUGUAACAGUCUUCUGUGUCUAUUAUUAAAUAGGAAUUAAUGUUAUACGUCAAACUUGCAUAGUUAGAACAAUUUUGGCAAUACACGUUUGUAUUAUGUAAAGAAUUUGUUAUUUCUUUUUCCAAACAAGAGAUACCAUUUGUUAUGAUUGAUAACAAAUUAGGUACUAUUACAGGUACAGUUUUUGAUGAUCUAUAUUGACAAAGAUGACAAUAUAUCUCUUGGGUGUUAUUACAAGAAGAUUCCGUAAGGAUUGAAAACAAAUUAUUUACAUUGUAGUUACAAUUUAAUUUCUUGGGCAAUUCUUUUAAUGUUUUAACUUGCAAUAUAACACGUAUUCUCUCUCUCUCUGUAAAGAUAGUCAAUGGAACAUUUGUUAAUAAGAUAACAUAACAGUAUUUUAAAAACAUUCAAGUUAUUACCUAUAUUUACUGAAUUAUAUAAUAAGUUCUACAUUUCAUUUUCUUUUUGUACCGUAAGAAUAAUAAGUUCAAAUAUGCUAUCAAAAGGACAGGUAUGGAUAACUGAAAUUAAUACAUCAUUGUAAUUUGUGCGAUCCAUCUUAUUUCCAUUUAUCAGAAAUGUGUGUUGAGAUACGUCUAUAGCAUUUAUUUGAAUUAUACAAGAUUCUACUGGUUAAUUUUGAGUUUUAAUAAUAGUUUUACUUGAACUUUUAGUGAUAUUCGGUGUAGUAACUUUUUUUGUUGAAUGUUUCUUAUCUGUACUACUGUAGUUUUCUCAAGUUUUGAAUUAAUUAAAGUCUCUUGUUUAUGCAAUACAGGUAAUAACUUUGAUUGGAAUUUACUAUUUUCAACAAUUUUACUUUCAGUCGUUUCAUGAAAUGGUAGACUUUCGGAAGAUUCUAAAUUGGAGUUUAUAAUUUCUAAAAUUUCACUGUUAUGUAAUUCUUCAUUAUAACUCAUUUCCUGAUCAAUUACUUUAAGUGCCUCAUUUUCACUUUUAUGCAAUUCUUCAUUAUAAUUCAAUUCAUGAUCGAUUACUUCAAGUGCCUCAUUUUCACUUUUAUGCAAUUCUUCUUUAUGAGAUACCGAGAGGUCUGACAUUUGCAUAAAACUUGAUUCGUCAUCUAAGGUUUCAAGUGUUUCAUUUUCAUCAAUACAAAAAUCAUAUUUUUCAUUAC